GCAAAGGAAAAUUCUCUCCUGAUGAGACUGAUGAUGAGGAAUCUGAGUUAUGCAUUGUGAAAAGCAAAUGCAAGGUUAUUUGUCCAAUAUGCACUAAGGACUUUCCUGAAGAUGAGAUCACAGUCCACGCAAGUCUGUGUGGGGAUAGCUUUCAAUGCAUGGUGCCUGAAGAAAAUGACCAAACUACAUGCACACCAACUCAAACUUCAGUAUGCACAACAGACAGCGUGGAAGAUGUAUUGCGUUGCCUUGAACAACAAGUCGGCACCACAACAGAAUUUAAGUUGUGUGUGGACAGAGAAGACCUUCCAGACAGAGGCAUUCUCCAGUGGCAGAGAAAAAAAUCUGCAUCUCCCACCAGUGUUCUUAGGGUGGUUUUCAUUGGAGAGGCAGGCGUGGAUACAGGAGCACUUAGGAAAG